CACGUAGGGUGCGAGCGUUGUCCGGAAUUAUUGGGCGUAAAGAGCUCGUAGGCGGUGUGUCGCGUCGGCCGUGAAAACCUGCAGCUUAACUGUGGGCUUGCGGUCGAUACGGGCAUCACUGGAGUUCGGCAGGGGAGACUGGAAUUCCUGGUGUAGCGGUGAAAUGCGCAGAUAUCAGGAGGAACACCAAUGGCGAAGGCAGGUCUCUGGGCCACAACUGACGCUGAGGAGCGAAAGCGUGGGGAGCGAACAGG
rnacentral:rRNA from 1 species